GAGCGCGCGGACACCGCCGAGGCGGCCCUAAAGGACGCGGUCGCGCAGACGACGUCGCUGGCUCCAGGCCGCGAGCGCGCGUGUAGGCUCCGUCAUGAGCCCGACUGCGCCUCCUCCCACCGCCUUUCCAUCCGACGUCGGCAAGCUGGUUGCGGCGGGCCCGCUUUUGCUGGCCUACAGCGGCGAAUCGGCCACCCGAUCUGGGCGUCGAUGAUGCCGCUGCCUCUGCUCCCCACUUCCUGGUGCAGGGCGAAGACGCAAUGGUGGUGGCGAACGUGCGGUUUAUGGGACUCGCGGCGGUGCCCUUCUCCGUGGCCUCGCCCUCCUGCGCGGGCGCAUCCUCUGCUCUGCGCCACCCGGACAGCUAGUUCUGCAGCUCGUCAGCGCGCUCUAACGCGUGCUCAGCAACUUCCGUGUAUGCCUCCCGACCUCCACGACGCGCUCCACAGCUUCGCAGGGCGUGACGGAGCCUCUGCUCGCAUCCUCAUUCGACGUCGUGCUCUGGGGCAAGGGGCUCCCGGAGUCCGUGCUCGCCGCCGCUGGUAAGACAGUCCUCCAUGUCUAUCCCAGUCUGUUCUACGGCUCCCUCUAUUCCUCCAUCCUGCUCUCCUCCUUCCUGUCCUUCCUCUCCCUGACCCUUCUCCGUCUUCAUUGACCGCGGUGGCGGCGGCGGCGGCCGGCUCCUAUUCGUACACCGUCGUCGAUCUACACCGCCGCGGCGUGUACUCGGAUUUCGCGACCUUGCCGACCAGCCCCUUAUGCUGCCCCCUUGGACUCUGAUCAGCAUCCCAUUCACGGAUAGGAAUUUGGAAGGGGAAAGAGAGAUAUAUGUCCAUUUAACUUCACAGUGCUCAGUGAAAUUAUUAUGGAGUGACUAAGACUACAAUACAAGCAAGCUCACCAAUGACCAAACUGCGAAGGCAUUCUAAUUAAUCUGAGCAAGAUCUCACUGUUGGAUCUGCGGAAAAAAAAACACAGUUUCUCCUCUAAUAAAGGGUGUGCCUGGACAAGUCAACAAGAAUAACCAAGCAGCUUAAGGUAUUCUAAGAGAAAUCAAUGUACGGUUCGUUCUUCACUGGAUUCAUACAACUGCAUCGGCCCAUGCUUGAAGAUCUAACUUCAUUUGAUUGCUGCGCAUUUUCUCUGCCAUGGAAGUCAGAUUUCCUUAUCAGUUUGAUGGAGUGUCAUCGGGUCCAGAUGAUUUAGUAAUUGUCAUAGCGAUUUGCUCCUGCUGCCCACAUUUAAUAGCGUGCUCUAUAUAACUGGUGGGUCAACAUGUACUUACAAUCAGCAGAAAGGUAUGAUCCAAGGGAAGGUUUCUGGGCGCUGCUUCCAAGUAUGAGCGUGAGAAGAGGAUCUCACUGACCCACUCGGUAGCUGUCUUGGGGGAUGCCCCGUAUGCUGUGGGAGGGUAUGAUGGAAGCAACAUGAUAUCUAACGUAGAGAUUUUUGACCUGUGCACUAAUUCAUGGAGAAUAUGCAGCCCAUUACAGGUUACAAUGGACGAUAAUUUGUUCUACAUUGGCGGGCACAGAUACAUCCUGCCAGCGACUGCAUUUCAACCGUCCCUGAUCCAAGUAUGAACACAGGGAAAACUGUUCUCAUGCCGGCAUUUUCCAAACUACUUAAUGCAGCUAUGUAACAUGGCCAGUUCCACCUAAAUACAAUGUCUGUUAAGUUAGUGAACCCUCCUAUUCUCCUACAGCUCCUUAGCUAUCCCAAUUGGAGAUUUAAAUUGUAAUAUAACAACUGCUCCUGUCAAAUACUUCUAUAUGUAUCAUCUGCAGUAGUUUAUCCAUAAACUAUUUAUCACUCUGUUGCUCUUUAGUACAAAUAUAUGUAUUUCCUUU